CUCAGUGGAAAGCAGAUUCGCUUGGAAGCUGCAUAGCAUUUUCAGAUUUACAGGUGCCAUUGGAAUGUUGUGCGCUAAGAUUGCUCAAUAUAUAACAAUGGCAUGUACCGAGAAAAUUAACUUAUUUACCUUAUAAAUCACCUUUUAUAGAUUUACAUUUGAAAAGAUUGGUAAGUACAUAAGUUAUAUAUACAUCUUGCUGAUAUUUACUAGUUAUACAUGCAUGGAUUAGCCUAAAUUAACUUUAUGAGCACUAGAGAAGUGCUUAGCAGCGGCAACCAUGGCUGCUUCUGGACCAGUCGGUGAUGCAGCAGAACGCCUCUUCUCUGUUCGGCUUCGAUCAACUGAGCAAAAGCAUGAGAACCAUGACGCCAGCACUGAUGAGAAUGUCCGUCGAUCUUCCUUGCUCCCCAUUACUUGCCCUUCUUGUCAGCACCAAGCUAUGUACUAGAUUUUAUGGCUUAUGACCUUUGGCUAGCUAGAGAAGAUUGGGAUCUACUUGGACGAAGACCUCAGCUUGUAUAAACUCAAAUUAGCUUCUUAAUGUGGAAUGCUUUGUAGGAGUUACUGAUCGUUGAGUUCAACUGAAGCUUUAGGAUGUGAUUU
rnacentral:lncRNA from 1 species